rnacentral:rRNA from 1 species
AUUGAACGCUGGCGGCAUGCCUUACACAUGCAAGUCGAACGGCAGCACGGGUGCUUGCACCUGGUGGCGAGUGGCGAACGGGUGAGUAAUACAUCGGAACGUACCUUAUCGUGGGGGAUAACGCAGCGAAAGCUGUGCUAAUACCGCAUACGCCCUGAGGGGGAAAGCGGGGGAUCGAAAGACCUCGCGCGAUUAGAGCGGCCGAUGCCUGAUUAGCUUGUGGGUGGGGUAAAAGCCCACCAAGGCGACGAUCAGUAGCUGGUCUGAGAGGACGAUCAGCCACACUGGGACUGAGACACGGCCCAGACUCCUACGGGAGGCAGCAGUGGGGAAUUUUGGACAAUGGGGGCAACCCUGAUCCAGCAAUGCCGCGUGAGUGAAGAAGGCCUUCUGGUUGUAAAGCUCUUUUGUCAGGGAAGAAACACCGGCUCUAACACAGUCCGGGAAUGACGGUACCUGAAGAAUAAGCACCGGCUAACUACGUGCCAGCCGCCGCAGUAA